rnacentral:lncRNA from 1 species
AUAAUUAAUCACUUUUUAUUCAAAUGCUCUAGAAGGAUUGUUAUCUCUUCCUUCUCAGUGGAUCUCACAACCUGAUCUUUCCUUCUAAUACAGUGUUUGGGAACAGGACAAGUAAGAAUGGACAGAGGAAUACCAUGUGCUGACUGACGAACGCCUGGGUUUCUGAACCAAUUGCCAUCAAGGGGAUUGGGAUUACCAUAAUUUUUGCUGAGACUAAGCCCCACCCCAGUAACCAAAGGCUUAUGGGUGGAAUGCAAGCUAUUGGAAGUAUUUGAAGAUGUGACCAAGGAAGCUAUGAGAAUUGGAAAUGAGGCAGUUGUUUAGAAACGGGCUGAUGUGCUUGUGGUAAGGUGGAAGGAGGAAGGCAGAUGAGGAAAGGAAUGUGCAACUGAAGCAAUUAGCUGUUACUAUGUAACGAACCAUCCCAAAACGUAGUGACAUAAAAC